rnacentral:sRNA from 1 species
GUUUCUCCAGUGCGGGGAAGGAUGAGAAGCUUCGACCAAGGUUCGAUUCGAGCGUAGCGAGAAAGCGUUGCCGCAGGCAACGACCCGAAGGGCGAGGCGCAACGCGCCGAGUAAUCCUUCCCUGCCUGUUU